CAAUUAUUUGUCCGUUUUGCAAUCCAGUAAUUAAGAAUUGAUUUCCUCUUAUAUCAGGAAGCAUGGCCGUAGCGAGGGGGGGGGGGAAUAUUGGGGGUGGUUAAUCCCCCAACUUUUGUAGAAUUAACAUAUUCGGAAAAUCGGGUUGGCCAUUCGGAAAAUUACGGCAAUAAUAGUAUAACAAAAUUUUAUUUGUAUAAACAGACAAAAUAUUAUAAAAUGGUAUUGUCAGUAUAAACCAUUGGUAUAAACUGAUUUACCAAAUCACGGCAUUUACAUGGAUAACGUAGAACAAAUCGUAAAUCGGUAAAUGCUUUUCGGUUUAUUACUUCUCAGGGCCGUAGCAGUCGGGGGGAGGGGGGAGGGACUGGGGGCAGCAGCCCUUACAAUAAUUUGCUGAUAAUCAUUCUUUUUUCAAAAUCAUGCACACCUUUAUCAUUUAAAUACUGACAAUAGACUAGGGGUGUGCACCGGAUCGGAUUGGAUGUUUAUAAUCCGACAAUUGCCUAAUGUUUAAAAUCCGAUCCGAAAUUGUCUAAUCCG